ACAUACUCAUGAACAGGGCUUUCCCUUAUGGAUUUCAGAGACCUUAGAUGGCUUUGGGAACCUGCAGUCUCCCUUGGGAAACAUGGAAAGUUCAUGUGCCCUUUUUGCCCAAAAUGGUUUUCUUGUGUAUGGAUCACAGUGAUAAAAUCUCUCUGCAAUUAGGAAUGAUGCCACAAGGACCUUUCUUGGGUCCCUGCGAUACUGGCUAGCUGGGACACCUUGACAACUUCCUGUGCAUGCACUGUCAUCUGCAGCAGCCACUCAUGCUCCCUACCACGUUGACUUGUUUCCUGGUCACUGUCUCAAUCCAGGGUUUUCCAACUUCUUCCAUUUUUGAGUACAAGAAACUUAUAUAAAAGAUGAUGACUCAGCAUGGUGAACACUUCUUUCUACAGAAAAUCAAGCGAAGAAAACCUGUCCAGGUAAAGCAUUUGUUGAGAAUUUCUGUAGCAUCCCCACCAACUUACACUUAGGUGACCUUGCCAAGUGAGUGGCUUCCCUCUGCAAAGUAACAGUCAGUCUGCUGCAGAUCUGGCGUCCCACGUUGCCCAGAAUAAGAUAAUCUCAGUUGCAAUUCACGUCUUUUUUGCGAACAGAGCUGCUCCUUCACCUCAGACACAGCUAGCAUGUGUUGCAAAAUCUGACAGAUUCAACCCAAAUCAAUGCAUGUGGAAGAAUUGAGAGUACCUCAAAGUGCAGCUGUUGUCAGCCACCCUGCCUCAGUUUACACAGCAAACUGCUUGAAAUGAGGACUUGGUUCUGAAGUUUGAAGCCAGGGUGUAAGCAAGGGUCAUUUGCUCUCGGGGCUGAGAGAAGGAUUUGCUUGACAACAUUCUCUUUGGUUUGUAGAUAGCCAUCUGCUUGUUGGCACAUUAUUCUCCCUGUAUGAUGGUCUGCCCUCUAAUUUCCUCUCUUUACAUGGGCAUCAGCCAUACCAGAUUAGGGCAAAUCCUAUUGACCUCAUCUUAAACUGAUUACUACUGCAAAGACUCUCCUUCCAAGGAAGGUCACAUUUAUAAGCACAGAGGUUGGAUUUCACCAGAAGAGCAAAGGAGGGGAUUGGUUCAGUACAUAACACACUUUCUCAUUUUUAUUGACUCGUGGCUUAAAGUUUUACUUAUUUUCUGUAUAUGCAUGAAGUGAUAUAAAUUUGUAUUAGUAAGCGAAAUUGUUGCUAGUUUUUCAAACCUAAAUGGAUUUAAAUAGUUAAGAGAAAUACUCGAAACUUAGGGUUUAUUGUUAGCUAUUUUAAUUUUGACAAUCAACAGUUUCCACAAUAUAAUAUAGAGUGUGAAUUAUGGAAUGCCCACACAUCCUGCAAGCACCAGAACUGAUGGCACUGAAUGCUACUUCAUCCAUAGGCAGAGUAAAGCAUUGUUGGCCUGUUGUGUAGAUGCUGGAAAGUGCUCAGACCUCCAAAGUGUGUGGCUAAUUUGCAGAUGAGGUCUGAUAUCUCAGAAAAAUUUCUACCUCACAGUAAUGUACAGAUAUUCCAGACAGUGAGGGAAUAUCAAACCAGUUAUCAGCUGAAAAACUGUCAACUAUAACCUUGCGAGUUUUCUUCCAUUCAAUGGCCUGGUAGACCAUUCAUUUCUUCCAUUCAUUGUCCGACACGUUCCCUGUCUGUCACCUCCACAGGCAUCGUAGCACAUUUUCUGAUGCUAGAACCAGAGAGCAAAAACUGAAUAAAUUAUUUAAAAAUUGAA